rnacentral:tRNA from 2 species
GGGCAUGGUUCAAUGGCAGAACAGCGGUCUCCAAAACCGUUGAUGAGGGUUCGAUUCCUUCUGCCC